CAGCUCCCCUCCUGCCACAUUCUAUUCACCAAGGCAGUCACAGAGGCCCUCCCAGUUGCAAGGGCCAUCACGCUAAUGACUCCAACCAGUGCUUUCUUGGUUCUUACCAGACCCAUCCUACAUGCUCAGUCACAGCUAAGAGGGGUCCUGUGGCCUGUUCUGAUCCAACUCCAGGAGAAAGACGAGUUCCUGGGAGCCUGUGCGAUCCUAACAACCGACAUCUUGGGGCCUACCGCAUGUCAAAUCCCAUCCGAGAACAGCUCCCCACUCUCAAUAUCAGAAAGAGAAAGGACGGCAGAGGACUCGUGCGAUCCCUUCCCAGUCUCCCCACCCCCACCCACAUCAUAUUCUGCACACAUGCUGAAGCAUUAGCAUCGGCUGAUUUGGAAGGAAUAUUGGAAAUGAAGUGAUAGCAGAGUAAAUGUCAAUGCAUUCAGUGUGACACCGUGAGCACCAGAUCUUAAACAGCUUCAUCAUUGUGGCAUUUACUGUAUCCUGAAAUAAUAUUAAUCCCACUGUUGUCCUUCUUGAUGGAAUCAUCCAUGAAUAUGGUUUAUGGGCCUGGCCAAAGUGAUAAUAGGUUAAAAGAACAGCCUAUCCAGUGUUCCACUAAAUUAAGGUCGCUUCAUGGAAUUUAAUGAAACAAGUGCUGCAUGGGGUUUUCAAAGGACGUUCUUGUAAUUCAUGUCUAUUUAGGGCUCCUGAUAACCAGAAACCUAAUUUCUUAGAAUAAAAUAGCUUUUCAAAAGCCUGGUCAUAUAGAAGAAUAAAAAAGAAAAAACUUUAAAGGGCAAUAAUAAGCCCCAACUGUAAUAUUUUGUUAUUUCAAAUCCAAAGUUUAAGCAAAAAAAAGUUGGGAGGGAGGCAAUGAGACAUUCUGAAUAAAACCAAAUAUGAAAAUUAA